rnacentral:rRNA from 1 species
CGUGUAGGCGGUUCUGCAAGUCAGAUGUGAAAUUUUCGGGCUUAACCCGGAAGCUGCAUCUGAAACUGCAGAACUUGAGUACUGGAGAGGAUAGUGGAAUUCCUAGUGUAGCGGUAAAAUGCGUAGAUAUUAGGAGGAACACCAGUGGCGAAGGCGACUAUCUGGACAGUAACUGACGCUGAGGCGCGAAAGCGUGGGGAGCAAACA